GUCUUUUUGAGUUAUUUUUAAAGUCUGACCUGCCCACUGAAUUUAUUUUAAAUGGCCGCAGUAUUCUAACUGUGCAAAGGUAGCAUAAUCAUUAGUCUUUUAAUUGAAGGCUGGUAUGAACGGUUGGACGAGGUAUAAGCUGUUUCAUAUAAAUUUAUAGUAGAAUUUUAUAUUUUAGUCAAAAAGCUAAAAUGUAAUUAAAAGACGAGAAGACCCUAUAAAUCUUUAUAUUUUAUAUAAUUUAAAUUUUUUGGAUUUAUUUUAUUUUUAUUAUAUAAAAUAUUUUGUUGGGGUGAUGUUAAAAUUUAAUGAACUUUUAAUUGAAUUUAAAUCAUUAAUUUAUGAAUUAUUGAUCCAUUAGUAGUGAUUAUAAGAUUAAGUUACUUUAGGGAUAACAGCGUAAUUUUUUUGGAGAGUUCAUAUCGAUAAAAAAGUUUGCGACCUCGAUGUUGGAUUAAGAUAUAAUUUUAGGUGUAGCCGCUUAAAUGUUAAGUCUGUUCGACUUUUAAAUUCUU
rnacentral:rRNA from 1 species